rnacentral:ncRNA from 1 species
UACCUGGUUGAUUCUGCCAGUAGUCAUAUGCUUGUCUCAAAGAUUAAGCCAUGCAUGUCUAAGUAUAAGCAAUUUGUACGGUGAAACUGCGAAUGGCUCAUUAAAUCAGUUAUCGUUUAUUUGAUAGUACCUUACUACAUGGAUACCCGUGGUAAUUCUAGAGCUAAUACAUGCUAAAAACCUCGACUUCGGAAGGGGUGUAUUUAUUAGAUAAAAAACCAAUGCCCUUCGGGGCUCUUUGGUGAUUCAUAAUAACUUGUCGAAUCGCAUGGCCUUGCGCUGGCGAUGGUUCAUUCAAAUUUCUGCCCUAUCAACUUUCGAUGGUAGGAUAGUGGCCUACCAUGGUGGCAACGGGUAACGGGGAAUUAGGGUUCGAUUCCGGAGAGGGAGCCUGAGAAACGGCUACCACAUCCAAGGAAGGCAGCAGGCGCGCAAAUUACCCAAUCCCAACACGGGGAGGUAGUGACAAUAAAUACUGAUACAGGGCUCUUUCGGGUCUUGUAAUUGGAAUGAGUACAAUUUAAAUCCCUUAACGAGGAACAAUUGGAGGGCAAGUCUGGUGCCAGCAGCCGCGGUAAUUCCAGCUCCAAUAGCGUAUAUUAAAGUUGUUGCAGUUAAAAAGCUCGUAGUGAAC